rnacentral:rRNA from 1 species
GCUUACGACCACACCGGCCUGAGUACGCCUGAUCUCGUUUGAUCUCGGAAGCUAAGCAGGGUCAGGCCUGGUUAGUAUUUGGAUGGGAGACCGCCUGGGAAUACCAGGUGCUGUAAGUU